rnacentral:rRNA from 1 species
GAUGAACGCUGGCGGCGUGCCUAAUACAUGCAAGUCGAGCGAACAGACGAGGAGCUUGCUCCUCUGACGUUAGCGGCGGACGGGUGAGUAACACGUGGAUAACCUACCUAUAAGACUGGGAUAACUUCGGGAAACCGGAGCUAAUACCGGAUAACAUGUUGAACCGCAUGGUUUAACAGUGAAAGACGGUCUUGCUGUCACUUAUAGAUGGAUCCGCGCCGCAUUAGCUAGUUGGUAAGGUAACGGCUUACCAAGGCAACGAUGCGUAGCCGACCUGAGAGGGUGAUCGGCCACACAGGAACUGAGACACGGUCCAGACUCCUACGGGAGGCAGCAGUAGGGAAUCUUCCGCAAUGGGCGAAAGCCUGACGGAGCAACGCCGCGUGAGUGAAGAAGGUCUUCGGAUCGUAAAACUCUGUUAUUAGGGAAGAACAAAUGUGUAAGUAACUAUGCACGUCUUGACGGUACCUAAUCAGAAAGCCACGGCUAACUACGUG